CUCCAGGUCGCCAAAUGGAAAGGCAUCGGUCCGCAAAACCGACAAGCGAGAGUUCGAUUCUCUCCCUGGAGU
rnacentral:tRNA from 1 species